GCUGAUCUAGAAUUCUAGAUUGAGGGACGAGGAGGAUGCGCGUAAACUCUGCAGUGUUCCUUAGCAAGAUGAGGGAAUUUGGGGUGAUUAGGAAACAUUCCCUUCCAGCAUUUUAGCGGCGUGACAGCAAUUGCCUUGCAGCAUUUCGCAGAAAUGUUGAAACGAUCUUCGUUAAAAAGGAACUCGAUUAUUUGGAUUGUACAUUUGUCUACAGCGGAUAAAGGAUGAUAGCAAUUCUUGACAUAGUCGUAGGGGGCGUCUGGUUUAUGCUCUGCUGUUGUCGAAACCAAAACGAACAUCAGCAUUGCUAUGAAAAUCAUCGAAUUCGACACCCACGAGUUUGAGUUUGCCAUCGCCUUUUCCAG
rnacentral:lncRNA from 1 species